GUCGCUGAAAGCGCCCGCUGUGCUAGCUAGUCACCUCUCCACUCUUGUAAAUCUUUUUGUUAUUUAUAUGUGAGUCUCUUCUACUCAUCAACUGUCCAUUUACCUGUCCUAAACAUGACACGCAAACGGGCAAAAUUGUCGUUUCAACAACGUACGGACAGCAGGUCCAACCACCACUGCUGUGUUGCCAUUCUGCACUGCAUCGACGAAGACCAAUUCUUACCUGAGCUUCCACACCUUUCCAAAGGACUCCGUAUUGCAGAAGCAAUGGGCUGUUAAGAUCAGGAGAGAUCAUUUUAUCGUCACCAAUACUUCCCGAGUGUGCUCACGACAUUUUGUUACUGCUGAUGUGAUCGAGUCUCCCACUCCUGCUGGACGUCGACGACUGCAACCUGGAGCUGUUCCUGGGCUUUUUCAUUGGAAUAACUAUAAUAUUCCAACACCACGACUUGGAUUAUGGGAAAGAACAGAGCGUCCACCGAAGUAACAGAGAUGCAGACUGACCCUGAUGAAGAUGACCCAGGGUCCUGUCAUGAACAUGACUACUGCACCAGUACUGAGCCUGCUGACCUUCAUCUCUCCCUCAACGAAGACGAGGAGAUCUCAAAGCUCUGAAAACAGAUAGAGGACUUGACCGUCAGCAGCAAGUUCUGUUUGGAGAGGUUUUCUGCGUCUGAUGAGGACAUACGAUUCUUUACCAGAUUUGCAAGUCAUGCCCACCUGAUGGGUUUUUGGAAGCAAAUAGAGCCUGCCACCCUCAACAUUAUAUGGGUUACAAGGGCACAGAGCUUCACAAAGACUGAUCAAGUCCUUCACUCUGCCAGUAGGUUCUUCAACCAAUUGACGAGUUCUUCCUGUUCAUGAACUACUUGUCAUUGGGACUGAUGCAAAAGGAUUUGACCCAUAGAUUUAGAAUACAUCGGUCAACUGUGAGUCGCAUCGUUAACACCUGGGCCAACUUCCUUUAUACUGUAUUGGGAGCUGUGAAUAUUUGGCUAGAUGAAGACACUGUAAAAGCUCACCUCCCAGAUGUGUUUCAGGACUAUGCUGACACUCAAGUCAUUUUAGAUUGCACAGAACUGCGAUGUCAAACCCCAAACUCCCUUCUCCUCCAGAGUGAGGCGUUUUCCACCUAUAAAUCACACUGCACAUUCAAAGGGUUGAUUGGGAUAGCCCCUCAUGGUGCAGUGACCUGUGUCUUAAAAUAAUAAAAUAAUGUGUAUAGUUCUUAUCUGUGUAGAGACUUGCAUCUCUAACAUCAAAAAGAUCCUUUUAGGUCAUGCACUGUACUGUAAAUAUAGUUUGUGUUAAGAUACAUUGGAAUUUCAUAACUUGUAUGAAAUGCUUUUACUUUAAUGUUAAAAUUGAGAUUACAUAAUACAACACUGUAUUUUUUGUACUUUUACUGAAUAUGUAAAAAUGAAAUGAAUACAGUAGUAAUAUUAUUGUCAGAAUAAAAUGAUAAAUGUUUUUUAAUUGUU